CAGCCUUCCACAUUGGGAAAUGUGGUUAAUCAGAGGCUUCUUGAGAACAGGCUACAAUGAGAUAAGUAAGCAAACUUAUAGAGGGAAGUAUUAGCCCCGAGGUCACAUAUAGCAUAUGGCGGAGCGAAGACCCAGAGCCUGAUGUGAUUGGCCUCAAAGCCACUGUGCUGUCUAUUCCCUAAAUCUUCAAAAUAUUACUUUAGAAUUACAAAGAAAAUAUAAAUAAAAGACUGAGCGAUGCUAGAACCAAUAACAUAAUGUUGGACCUUUCAAAGACAAGAAUGGCUGACAUUCAACUCAAUUCAGCCAUUGAGGUCAGCUAGAGAUCCUGACCAACGUUAGUGACCUGCUGUCCCUGCAGUGGCUCCAUGUCUGGAGGAGACCCAAGGAGACCCCUUUCAUCGUUUCUCUCUGCACCUAUAUACCUCCUUUGUAGGUUUGUUUUUGGGGGUUUUUUUUGGCUGUGACUCAUUAUUAUAGAAAGCUCUCAUAAAAAUAAUGUUACAUUUAGCUUCA